rnacentral:rRNA from 1 species
AUUGAACGCUGGCGGCAGGCUUAACACAUGCAAGUCGAACGAGUGGCGGACGGGUGAGUAAUGCUUGGGAAUCUAGCUUAUGGAGGGGGAUAACUACGGGAAACUGUAGCUAAUACCGCGUACCAUAGGAUGAGCCCAAGUGGGAGUAGGUAGUUGGUGAGGUAAAGGCUCACCAAGACGACGAUCUCUAGCUGUUCUGCGAGGAUGACCCGACACACUGGGACUGAGACACGGCCCAGACGCCUACGGGAGGCAGCAGUGGGGAAUAUGGCGCAAUGGGGGCAACCUGACGAAGCCAUGCUGCCUGAAUGAAGAAGGCGUUCGGGUUGUAAAGUUCUUUCGGGAGCGAGGCGUUAACUACAGAAGAAGCACCGGCUAACUCCGUGCCAGCAGCCGCGGUAAUUC